UCUUCCCAUUCCGAACAGAGAAGUUAAACCUUGUAACGCCGAUGGUACUGCGAAAGCGGGAGAGUAGGUAAUCGCCGCCU
rnacentral:rRNA from 1 species